rnacentral:rRNA from 1 species
UACGUAGGGUGCAAGCGUUAUCCGGAUUUACUGGGUGUAAAGGGCGAGUAGACGGCGAUGCAAGUCAGAUGUGAAAUGCUAGGGCUUAACCUUAGAACUGCAUCUGAAACUGUAUUGCUAGAGUUCAGGAGAGGUAAGCGGAAUUCCUAGUGUAGCGGUGAAAUGCGUAGAUAUUAGGAGGAACACCAGUGGCGAAGGCGGCUUACUGGACUGUGACUGACGUUGAGGAGCGAAAGUGUGGGGAGCAAACAGG